GAUUUGAUCGUGGCUCAGAUUGAACGCUGGCGGCAUGCCUUACACAUGCAAGUCGAACGGCAGCACGGGAGCUUGCUCCUGGUGGCGAGUGGCGAACGGGUGAGUAAUGCAUCGGAACGUAUCCUGGAGUGGGGGAUAACGUAGCGAAAGUUACGCUAAUACCGCAUAUUCUGUGAGCAGGAAAGCGGGGGACCUUCGGGCCUCGCGCUCUUGGAGCGGCCGAUGUCGGAUUAGCUAGUUGGUGAGGUAAAGGCUCACCAAGGCGACGAUCCGUAGCAGGUCUGAGAGGAUGAUCUGCCACACUGGAACUGAGACACGGUCCAGACUCCUACGGGAGGCAGCAGUGGGGAAUUUUGGACAAUGGGGGCAACCCUGAUCCAGCCAUGCCGCGUGAGUGAAGAAGGCCUUCGGUUGUAAG
rnacentral:rRNA from 1 species